UGUUAUUUGUUUAUGCAGUUUCAUAUUUCAAAGAUUUUGGGUCUCUUGAUCCUGAUGUGUGUGCCAUCUACACAGCCAAGUAGGUCGGGGAAACCAGCUAUCUGGUAGAGCUUCUCAUGCGUCAUAUUCUGUUGCUCAGGCUGAGUUGGAAACUUAACGUAGUCGUUAAAGCACUGACACAACAAUAGUGCGACUGAUCUUAUUGCUCUACAUACAGUAGAUUUAUGCACUUAUAGGGAAGGACUGAGGGCACCGUUUCUGUCCGUGUCAUGUUGCAGGUCUGCUGCUAGGAGGUCGGUAAUCUGUUGUAUCUCCGCUCAUGGAAAACUAAAGCACGAGUAUAAACCAAGGUCAUCAUAAAUGUCCAACGAAUGUAAUCUAUCACGGAGAACAUGUUGCCGACGCAAAACAGCCGGUAUAAGUUAUCCCACCUUUCAAAACGAUGCACCAUGCUAACCGUGCCAACUGCUACUAUACGGAGGACUUUACACCUACUAAGGGCUAGGUGUAAUAUUUAAGUUAUACUUAUGCCUAUGUUGUAACUAUUUCAGCUGGUGCAACCCUUGAAAUGUUAGUAGCACGUAAACUCCGGCCUAAGUAAGAAUUUACGUUCAAAUGAGGCUACGUUUGAACUUAAGCACAGCUGGUGCAACUCAGUGCAGUUCUCCUCAUGUUGCUUCCAGGGCAGAGUAAGGUUAGACUAACGUUUAACGUUACUCGCUCUUAUAGACUCCUCCAGUAACUUAGCUUAAAUGCACAAUAUGUAAUUUCAGCUGCUAGUGGUCUCUCAGUUAAUACAAUAACAAAAGACGGAGUGUGAAGACAGUGUGAAGUAGCAUGGGAUCAUGGGAGUUGUUGUCUUGUUAUACAACCAGUUUCUUCAGGUUAGGGUUACUUCAGUGUUCAUCGUUCAGGAUGUUUUGACCGGGAGCCGAAUUAUCUGCAGAGGUCUCCUCCUCUCCAAAAUAAAUGGACCCAAUGUUUCAAACAGGUGAAAACACUGAGUAAAGCAGUUUCACGUUAAAAAUCAGCAUUUCUCUGACGCUGUUCAGUAGGCACAGGAUGCCCAGUAGAGGCUGCUAGCUGAGCUGCUGCUAAUGUUAGCUUAACUUGUUUCUCUAACAAUUUAAGAUCCAGACGUUCAGCAGGUUUUUACCACGAGCCAAAUGUUCUGCAGAGGUCUCCUCCUCUCCGGAACAAACAGACCCGGUGAUUAAAGCAGUUCCGGGACCCUCUGCUGCUGGUGCCCAACAUGGCCUUCUUCAUUCUCCUGAUGUGGCAGCUGCCCUCAGCCAGGAGAAAGAUAUGCAUCACCUUGAGCUCUGUUUUCAUCAACUUUUACCUGCUGGUAAAAGAGCCAGGCAGUGCCAGCUUCUCUGAAAGACCAAGUUGGAAGAAGCUGAGCGGAUCGUCAGAGUGAAGAUGGCAGAUGUGUGAUGGUAAUUUAAAUCUAAAGUUUUUUAAGAAAAGCAAGUUUUUCAUUCACCACAUAUUAGACAAAUAUUGUUUUGGAUAUGUUGAAUAUGAAAAAUAUGUUCCCAUGUACCUGCAUGGCAUUUUUUGUAACCUAUUCAUGUUCUAUGCCAAUAUGCCCCUGAGUAUCAGCUGGCCUCUCAGAUGAACUGUGCAGGGAAGAAACUGAAAGAUACGCAUAAACAAAAAACUGCAUUCACUGUCAGUGGAGAAUGGAGAAAAAGGGCAAUUAUGGGUGAAUCCUGUCAAUGUUGGUGACCCUGUGACCUUCCCUCUAGCGCCAAUGGAUCACUGUUUGGGCCCCAUACCAAGUACCAUAUUUAAAGGACUGUAGUAGCUACAGACAUGGAACCAAGUUGGAUUUUACCUUGCUUUUCCAUUCAGUCCACCAGUGUGUCUGCAGGUCUUUAAAAGGAAAAUGUCUAUAUCAAGUCAAAUAGUCUUAAAUUUGAAUUUAACUUCAAAAUAAACAUUUUAUCAAAUUUCAA